AUUUAGAUNCCCUUGGUAAUUCCACGCCGAUAACGAUGUNUACUUGGAGGUUGUGACCUUGAGCCGUGGCUUUUGGGAGUUAACGCGUUAAGUAGACCGCCUGGGGAGUACGGUCGCAAGAUUAAACUCAAAUNNAUUGACGGGGGCCCGCACAAGCGGUGGAGCAUGUGGUUUAAUUCGAUGCAACGCGAAGAACCUUACCUACUCUUGACAUCUACAGAAGCCAGCGGAGACGCAGGUGUGCCUUCGGGAACUGUAAGACAGGUGCUGCAUGGCUGUCGUCAGCUCGUGUUGUGAAAUGUUGGGUUAAGUCCCGCAACGAGCGCAACCCUUAUCCUUGUUUGCCAGCACUUCGGGUGGGAACUCCAGGGAGACUGCCGGUGAUAAACCGGAGGAAGGUGGGGACGACGUCAAGUCAUCAUGGCCCUUACGAGUAGGGCUACACACGUGCUACAAUGGCGCAUACAGAGGGCGGCCAACUUGCGAAAGUGAGCGAAUCCCAAAAAGUGCGUCGUAGUCCGGAUUGGAGUCUGCGACUCGACUCCAUGAAGUCGGAAUCGCUAGUAAUCGUGGAUCAGAAUCCCACGGUGAAUACGUUCCCGGGCCUUGUACACACCGCCCGUCACACCAUGGGAGUGGGCUGCAAAAGAAGUGGGUAGUUUAACCUUCGGGAGGACGCUCACCACUUUGUGGUUCAUGACUGGGGUGAAGUCGUANCAAGGUAACCG
rnacentral:rRNA from 1 species